CCUACGGGAGGCAGCAGUGGGGAAUUUUGGACAAUGGGCGAAAGCCUGAUCCAGCAAUGCCGCGUGAGUGAAGAAGGCCUUCGGGUUGUAAAGCUCUUUUGUCAGGGAAGAAACGGUGCGGGCUAAUAUCCUGCACUAAUGACGGUACCUGAAGAAUAAGCACCGGCUAACUACGUGCCAGCAGCCGCGGUAAUACGUAGGGCGCAAGCGUUAAUCGGAAUUACUGGGCGUAAAGCGUGCGCAGGCGGUUUUGUAAGUCUGUCGUGAAAUCCCCGGGCUCAACCUGGGAAUUGCGAUGGAGACUGCAAGGCUAGAAUCUGGCAGAGGGGGGUAGAAUUCCACGUGUAGCAGUGAAAUGCGUAGAGAUGUGGAGGAACACCGAUGGCGAAGGCAGCCCCCUGGGUCAAGAUUGACGCUCAUGCACGAAAGCGUGGGGAGCAAACAGGAUUAGAUACCCUGGUAGUCCACGCCCUAAACGAUGUCUACUAGUUGUCGGGUUUUAAUUAACUUGGUAACGCAGCUAACGCGUGAAGUAGACCGCCUGGGGAUACGGUCGCAAGAUUAAAACUCAAAAGUAGUAGUCGACGNGNGAGAGACGACGACGACGACGAGGAGGAGGAGG
rnacentral:rRNA from 1 species